GACGAACGCUGGCGGCGUGCUUAACACAUGCAAGUCGAGCGGAAAGACCAGGCUUUUGUUCCUUUCACGUUUGCGGCGGACGGGUGAGUCACACGUGUAACACCCCCUUAUCUUACUGGUAAAUUCUCGGGACAGCGGCUCUUACAGCGUAUAAUAUCUUGCACCGUAUUGUUCAAUAGUGAAUUACGGCUUUGCGGUCACUUAUAGCUGGAUCUCGGCCGCAUUAGCUAGUUGGUAAGUUAACGGCCUACCACGGCAACGAUGCGUAGACGACGUGAGAGGGUGGUCGGCCACACUGGAACUGAGACACGGUCCAGACUCCUACGGGAGGCAGCAGUAGGGAAUCUUACGCAGUGGGCGAAAGCCUGACGGAGCAACGCCGCGUGAGUGAUGAAGGUCUUCGGAGCGUAAAAAUCUGUUAUUAGGGAAGAACAAAUGUGUAAGUAACUAUGCACGUCUUGACGGUACCUAAUCAGAAAGCCACGGCUAACUACGUG
rnacentral:rRNA from 1 species